GGAUUACCGCAGUAAGUUACACCGGUAGUACAAGCGGUGCGUGAGCCACGAGGAGGUCAUACAGUCUGUACCGCUGCACGUGACCGAUGAGGACUGGCGGAUACUCUGCGAUAGGUUUUCGUCAGAUUCUUUUCAGAAGAGGAGCAAAAUAAAUUCUGACAACAGAGAAAAGUUAGAAGUGAACCACGUAGCUGGUUAAAAGUCAUUUGUACGAUUUCGUCACGACAUGUGAGAUUUCGUCACUGGCCAGGAGCUUGGACCAGUAGACUUCUACAAAGGGACUCACUGUCGGCAGGCAAUGAGAUCUUGGGUACAUCCUAGAGCCAGCGAGAUUUGGGUAAAGAU